AUUGAACGCUGGCGGCAGGCCUAACACAUGCAAGUCGAGCGAGCGGCGGACGGGUGAGUAUUGUCUGGAAAACUGCCUGAUGGAGGGGGAGAACUACUGGAAAAGGUAGCUAAAACAGCACACCAUCAGAUGUGCCAAGAGGGGAUGAGCGAGUAGGUGGGGUAAUGGCUCACCUAGGCGACGAUCCCUAGCUGGUCUGAGAGGAUGACCAGCCACACUGGAACGGAGACACGGUCCAGACUCCUACGGGAGGCAGCAGUGGGGAAUAUCGCACAAUGUGCGCAAGCCUGAUGCAGCCAUGCCGCGUGUGUGAAGAAGGCCUUCGGGUUGUAAAGCACUUUCAGCGGGGAGGCGUUACCCGCAGAAGAAGCACCGUCUAACUCCGUGCCAGCAGCCGCGUUAAUUC
rnacentral:rRNA from 1 species